rnacentral:rRNA from 1 species
UGGCUCAGGACGAACGCUGGCGGCGUGCUUAACACAUGCAAGUCGAACGAGAAUAGAUUGGAAGCUUGCUUUGAUUUAUUCGAGUGGCGGACGGGUGAGUAACGCGUGAAUAAUCUGUCCUAUACAGGGGGAUAACGCAUCGAAAGAUGUGCUAAUACCGCGUAGGACCACGGGAUCGCAUGAUUCUGAGGUGAAAGGAGCAAUCCAGUAUAGGGUGAGUUCGCGUCUGAUUAGAUAGUUGGUGAGGUAACGGCCCACCAAGUCAACGAUCAGUAGCCGACCUGAGAGGGUGAUCGGCCACAUUGGGACUGAGACACGGCCCAGACUCCUACGGGAGGCAGCAGUGGGGAAUAUUGGGCAAUGGGCGAAAGCCCUGACCCAGCAACGCCGCGUGAAGGAAGAAGGUUUUCGGAUUGUAAACUUCUGUCCUAUGUGAAGAGAAGUAGACGGUAGCAUAGGAGGAAGCCCCGGCUAACUACGUGCCAGCCGCGGC